rnacentral:rRNA from 1 species
GAUGAACGCUGGCGGCGUGCCUAAUACAUGCAAGUCGAGCGAACGGACGAGAAGCUUGCUUUUCUGAUGUUAGCGGCGGACGGGUGAGUAACACGUGGAUAACCUACCUAUAAGACUGGGAUAACUUCGGGAAACCGGAGCUAAUACCGGAUAAUAUUUUGAACCGCAUGGUUCAAAAGUGAAAGACGGUCUUGCUGUCACUUAUAGAUGGAUCCGGGCUGCAUUAGCUAGUUGGUAAGAUAACGGCUUACCAAGGCAACGAUGCAUAGCCGACCUGAGAGGGUGAUCGGCCACACUGAAACUGAGACACGGUCCAGACUCCUACGGGAGGCAGCAGUAGGGAAUCUGCCGCAAUGGGCGAAAGCCUGACGGAGCAACGCGGCGUGAGUGAUGAAGGUCUUCGGAUCGUAAAACUCUGUUAUUAGGGAAGAACAUAUGUGUAAGUAACUGUGCACAUCUUGACGGUACCUAAUCAGAAAGCCACGGCGAACUACGU